UACGGGAGGCAGCAGUGGGGAAUAUUGCACAAUGGGCGAAAGCCUGAUGCAGCUAUGCCGCGUGUAUGAAGAAGGCCUUAGGGUUGUAAAGUACUUUCAUCGGGGAGGAAAAAACAAAACUAAUAAUUUUAUUUCUUGACGUUACCCGAAAAAGAAGCACCGGCUAACUCCGUGCCAGCAGCCGCGGUAAUACGGAGGGUGCGAGCGUUAAUCGGAAUUACUGGGCGUAAAGGGCACGCAGGCGGUUAAUUAAGUUGGAUGUGAAAUCCCCGGGCUUAACCUGGGAAUGGCAUUCAAGACUGGUUAGCUAGAGUCUUGUAGAGGGGGUAGAAUUCCAUGUGUAGCGGUGAAAUGCGUAGAGAUGUGGAGGAAUACCGGUGGCGAAGGCGGCCCCUGGACAAGACUGACGCUCAUGUGCGAAAGCGUGGGGAGCAAACAGGGAUUAGAUACC
rnacentral:rRNA from 1 species